rnacentral:rRNA from 1 species
UACGUAGGGUGCAAGCGUUAAUCGGAAUUACUGGGCGUAAAGCGUGCGCAGGCGGUUCUGUAAGUCUGUCGUGAAAUCCCCGGGCUUAACCUGGGAAUGGCGAUGGAGACUGCAAGGCUAGAGUUUGGCAGAGGGGGGUAGAAUUCCACGUGUAGCAGUGAAAUGCGUAGAGAUGUGGAGGAACACCGAUGGCGAAGGCAGCCCCCUGGGUCAAAACUGACGCUCAUGCACGAAAGCGUGGGGAGCAAACAGG